rnacentral:tRNA from 1 species
CAGGGAGACAUUACUGACUUUGAUGGUUGGCUUUACAAAUGCCAGCCCAAGGUCCUGUCAUCUCGAUGGUCGAUCGGUACCUCCGAUGGAAACUUCUAAUUUUCAUUUGGAUUCCUGAACUUGUCUUGGUCAAGCACGAUGAGAUUCGUGGGCCAUUAGCUCAGGUGGUUAGAGCGCACCCCUGAUAAGGGUGAGGUCCUUGGUUCAAGUCCAAGAUGGCCCAUCAUUACUAGGGGGUUUAGCUCAGUUGGUAGAGCGCCUGCUUUGCAAGCAGGAAGCCAGCGGUUCGAAUCCGCUAACCUCCACUGGCAGACUUUUCAAGUUUGCCUUUACGAAUCGAUUCGUCAUUCGAUCAGAAUCUUGAAAACUGCAUAGAUUGGGUCUGGAAGAGCAUCUCAUAGACAUUGAAUUCUAUUGAGAUUACAAGUGAAUCAUUAUGAUUUGCUU